AGAGAAAAUGAGAAAGAUGUUGAGGAAAGUGAAAAACAAGAGAGUGAAAAGGAACAGAGUUCAAGAAAAAGAUUAGAGUGAAGAAAAAGAAGAGAAGUACAUACCUCCAGAGCCUUACAAGUUACAAGCCACAGUUUCUCUUUCCACAAAGAUUUCAGAAAGCAAGAUUAAAUAAGCAUUUUGGAAAGUUAUUAGAAGUUUUGAAGAAGUUGUAUAUUAAUGUGCCUUUUAUUGAUGCUCUU
rnacentral:misc_RNA from 1 species